GAGUUUGACCCUGGCUCAGAAACAACGCUAGCUAUAUGCUUAAAAAAUGCAAGUCGAAAGGUAGUUUUUCUCGCCCAGGAAGUGAGAAGAGUUGAGAAUAAAGUGACGAACGGGUGCGUAACGUGUGGGAAUCUACCGAACAGUUCGGGUCAAAUCCUGAAAGCUAAAAACAUUGUUUGAUGAGCUUACAUAUAGUAUUAGGUAGAUGUUCAGGUUAAGGCUGACCAAGCCAAUAUGCUUAGCUGGUCUUUUCGGUGAUUAGGCAUACUGGGACUGAGACACGGCCCAGACUCUCAUGGAGGGCAGUAGUGGGGAAUCUUGGACAAUUGGCGAAAGCUCAAUCCAACAAUAUCACGUGAGUGAAGAAAGUCAAUGCUGCUUGUAAAUCUCUUUCGUCGAGUGUGCAAUCAUGACAGGAGUCGAGGAAGAAUUAACUAACUCUGUGUCAGUAGUCGCGGUAAGACGGUAAGAGGGGGAAAGUGUUCUUC
rnacentral:ncRNA from 1 species